rnacentral:ncRNA from 1 species
UGUCUCCUCCACCUCCUCCAAUGGUGGAUUCAGGCCCGGGGCCGCAAGGUCCCGGGCUUCUUUU